UUGAACGCUGGCGGCAGGCCUAACACAUGCAAGUCGAGCGGAUGAAGGGAGCUUGCUCCUGGAUUCAGCGGCGGACGGGUGAGUAAUGCCUAGGAAUCUGCCUGGUAGUGGGGGAUAACGUCCGGAAACGGGCGCUAAUACCGCAUACGUCCUGAGGGAGAAAGUGGGGGAUCUUCGGACCUCACGCUAUCAGAUGAGCCUAGGUCGGAUUAGCUAGUUGGUGGGGUAAAGGCCUACCAAGGCGACGAUCCGUAACUGGUCUGUGAGGAUGAUCAGUCACACUGGAACUGAGACACGGUCCAGACUCCUACGGGAGGCAGCAGUGGGGAAUAUUGGACAAUGGGCGAAAGCCUGAUCCAGCCAUGCCGCGUGUGUGAAGAAGGUCUUCGGAUUGUAAAGCACUUUAAGUUGGGAGGAAGGGCAGUAAGUUAAUACCUUGCUGUUUUGACGUUACCAACAGAAUAAGCACCGGCUAACUUCGUG
rnacentral:rRNA from 1 species